AAUCUCUGGGCUUCACCAAAACUCCUCACAAAAGCCAAACGCCAUAUCCAGAAGGUUAUGAAGGGUAUAAUGAGGAGCCAAACAGAAAGGACAAAACUAAGGCGCAAAAAGAAUUGCAGAACAUGGCAAGUCUUCAUUGUCAUCCCAACUACAAACUCCUGAAAAGGAAGCCUUGCUGGGGCAUUCUCUGCAUAAACAGGAGAGAAAGAGAAUGCAUGCUUGCAAACCUCGCAUUGGCGAGCGUUGCUGUGAUUAAGCCACUGCAGUAGGCAAUCCUGGUGCACAAACUUGAUACUUCCGCUACAAGCGCAAGGAUACCGUAAAGGAUUCUCCGCAUCUCCCGGGUUCCUACAGAUCCGGCAUACAUCCUCCUCCUC
rnacentral:misc_RNA from 1 species